UCCUGGCGAAUUAUCAACCUUAUCAAACACAGCAAGUAUAAUGAUAAUAUUAAUAUGGGUCUGGUCUAAUUCUGUUCUUUCAAGUCAUAUACAAGCAUUACUCCAUGAUACAACUGAAGUACGUAGAAAAAGUCAAAAGUGAAAACAAGAUGAAAAUCUAUCACUGGACAAGGUGUCAGACAUCCUUUAUUUAUUCCAAAAGCAACAAAAAAAAAAUAGAAUACAAAAUCUGCACAUGAUGAGUUGUAACUAUGUAUUACACUUCAUGUUUCCAAUCAUUUUCAAUACCAAGGAGAAAUGUUGGUCUACAUCGCAAAUCCAAGCACCUUUAUUGUCUAACAAAAUUCAUAUGCAAAACCAUGAAGAAAGAGAAAAAUAAGACAAUUUUGAAAAAAAAUCAUUAAUUAAACAAGGAAUAACUUAAAGCUCAUACUUACAGAAACACACAACAACAAACUUUUAAAACAUAAUUUAAGUACAUGAAAAAACAAUGAUUUUUAUUCUAAAGAAAACCAAAACCUUGAGUGAUAAACUUUUCUGAUCAGCCUUUCCCCCUUUUCAAUGAGCCACUCAACUCUACUGCACAAAUGUAAGUAAGGAAAGACACAAGAUAAGCAUCAGGAAAAUAAAAGUUAUAAGUACUUGGAUGUAUUCUGGUAAAUGAAAAUGAAAUAAUAAAGCAUGAUGACUUAUAUAAAAUCUCAUCUAAAUACAAGAAUUUCUGAUUUAAAAAAUAACAGGUUCAUUUUUUUUGGUCUUAUUAUAACACAAGGAACAAAAGACUGCAGGCAAGAGAAUGGUUUGCAAGUUUUUGCAUUAUUGAAAAAAAAAGUUAUAUGUGUCCCACAAGAAAGGAAACCUCUUCUUAGAGAUCUAGAUAUCACAAUCAUUGAAUAUGUUUUGCACAUUAAUUAAUAUUAAUAGGAGGAAUAAAAUCUCUUUUUUGAUUUACAUGUAAGAUCAAAUACUUAGUGGAUUGCGUAGUACAAAUAAUGAAAUACUGAGGCAAGUAAGAAAUUAUUUUUCAGAAAGCCACGUGAAUCUAAAUUUAGUCUAAUUUGGGGAUUAGUGAAAGUAAUGUUACAAAGAAUACAAUAGAUAUUUCAAUAAGCCAUCCUUUUCUUACACAAGUCUGUUAUAUCUUUAAGAAAUCUCAACUGAUUUUGGGGGUUGACAUUGAAAUUUAAACUCUGUUUAAGUGACAGUCCCAUAAGCUAUUUUAAAUUCUAAACAUUUGAUACAGAGAGGGAAGUAAUCUACAUUAGCCAAGUGGAAACUGAAAUUCUUUGUGACAAAUACUGUGACAUCUAAUAGAUACAUAAGUAUUCUAUAUACAUCAGUAACUUAGAUUUUUUUCUGACCAAAAAUAUUGCCUCAGAUACUAGCACAAGUUACAAUACUUUACAGAUGAAUUUGAAGCACAUCUGAAGACUAAGAAUGCAAAUGCAAUUUUAAGAGUCAUCCCCCCCCAAAAAAAAAGAUACACAACAAUGUGAAAAGAUUGUUGACUUGUUUCUACAUUUUUGAUGAUUUGCUGAAAAUAAAUUGAGCUAGCAUAAUUUUUUUUGUACAGGUUAAAUAACUACAUAAUGAUUUUCUUCGGGCUAAUAUGGAUAUUAGAAAACAAGGUAUUACCUUAAGGUGUAAACAAUUUCCACAUCAUAAAAAUCAAUUUAAAUAACAUUCAUUUCGUUGUAAAACAUGCAGCAAAUGUCACUUUUGGAAACAUCUAAGGCACAAUUGUAAAAUAUUAAUUCGAUAUACCAUAAACAUAAACUCUUUUUUCAUAUAUUGUAGUACUGUAUCAUCAAUGCACUCAAAAGUGAAAAUCUGGAAGAAAGAACUUAUAAAAAAAUCCUUAUACAUUAAUAUACAUAACAUCUUAUAAUCAUAUGUAAAGCUUGAUUAAAUCUUAAAAGUUGUAAAUAUCAUUAUAGAAAGCAUCUGUAAGAGAAUGUAAUCCAAAUUUAGGAAAUUGAAAUUCAGAAAUUAUUAUUAAAUCUUGCCUCGGGUAGUUUAUGCACUGGCGUAGAUUCAAGAUAUAAACCUGUAUUCAGAGAAGGGUAAGGGGGGGGUGGUCUAUUGCAACAUUCCACGAUUCCCCUCCUCCCACACACACUUGACAAGCAUGGCAUCACAUAUCUACAGCCGUGGAGGGUGGGG